ensembl:lncRNA
CUCAGGAGGGUGUUUAGUGAGCAGACAGCCUCUUGGAUUAGAGAUUGUUAUACAAAUGUCAUUCUUUAUCAUCAUCAUCUAACUUUUCAAGAGCAGAGUUAAGAAAGAAACUUUCCUAAUAUCACCAAUUAUCCAGUUGAAUCAUGAAACACAAAAGAAAAAUAAAACAUCUGGAACCUUCAUUGUUAAACUAAACAGAAAAGAGACCAAGAGAAGAGUUAGAUUUAUAAGAUGAUCUGCAGAGCAGAAACAAUGUACUGACCCCAACUCAAGACCAGGAAGAGAGCAAUAUUUCUUCAAAUCACUUCUUUUGCGAAGACAAAUUCUUUGGUGCAGGCAUGAAGUAAUGAUUAAAUAAGCACCUCUGGAAACCUUUUGGUGGAUGUCUUCAGUCAUGCUGUCUUCGCUGUCUUGAUGUCCUGAAUCAACUCCAAAUGUGCCAGGCCAGUAAAGAAGACACAUUUUUCCUUCUGAAUUGAAUGUAGGAGGCCUGCAAUCAUGGAAACUCAAGACAUCGGCUCUCAGCCACCAUGUGACCAGAGCUUACACCCAAUGCUGUCAGCUAAAUGCCUGUGAGAGAACUGUCCAACUCCAAGUGUAUUUUUCUUCCACUAGAACAGCUAAAAUUAAAAAGACCAACACUACCAAAAAUUGGCAAGAAGGUGGGCA